rnacentral:rRNA from 1 species
AUAUCAAUAAGCGGAGGAAAAGAAACUAACAAGGAUUCCCCUAGUAACUGCGAGUGAAGCGGGAAAAGCUCAAAUUUAAAAUCUGGCAGAUGCUUGUCUGUCCGAGUUGUAACCUAGAGAAGUGUAACCUGUGCUGGACCAUGUACAAGUCUCCUGGAAUGGAGCAUCAUAGAGGGUGAGAAUCCCGUCUUUGACAUGGACUACCAGUGCACUGUGGUUGUGCACUCGACGAGUCGAGUUGUUUGGGAAUGCAGCUCAAAAUGGGUGGUGAACUCCAUCUAAAGCUAAAUAUUGGCGAGAGACCGAUAGCGAACAAGUACCGUGAGGGAAAGAUGAAAAGCACUUUGGAAAGAGAGUGAAACAGUACGUGAAAUUGUUGAAAGGGAAACGCUUGAAGUCAGUCGCGUCGACCGAGACUCAGCCUUGCCUCGGCUUGGUGUACUUCUCGGCUGACGGGUCAGCAUCAAUUUCGCCCCUUGGAUAAUGGCGAGGGAAAUGUGACACCUUUGCGGUGUGUUAUAGUCUCUCGUCGCAUGCAAGGGUUGGGAUUGAGGAACUCAGCACGCGCCUUUGGGUGUCGGGGCUUUGCCCACGAUACGUGCUUAGGAUGUUGGCGUAAUGGCUUUAAACGA